GGUGGCUCAUAGACUGUGGGGUUUCCUGCUUCAAGGAAGACCAAAAUUUGUUACAAUGACUUGCCUGACUCUGCCCUCCUCAGUUUUCAACCUUUACCUUCCACAUUUUUAGGUAGUUAUCACCAAUUCUAGUGAUGAAGUUAUAAUAUGUGACAAGGGCGCAUAGACCAUGAUGGGAGUAUUGGACACAACUUUGAACCCAAAUCUCUGUGCUGUACACAGCUUAAAGUUCUGUCUUUUCUUUCAGGUCCCUCCCCUUGGAUCUAAAGCAACAAGCAUUUGGGAUACAAGUUAUCUUUCUACAGGAACAACUUACUGGAAUUAAUUCACAAGCAUUCUCUGCAAAGAGCCUGUUGGCCAUUGUAAGGCAGUACUUUUUAUUUUUCUUGUUUAGGUUAUGGAGAAGCAACUGGAAGCCCCGAUGGAUAUUUUCAUCUGUGUUUAAUUUAAGAGCCUAUGGAGGAAAAGAUGAAACAUUUUUUCAGGCCAGGGAUGAAACUUUUAGUUUCAAAAGGAAUUUUCAAGAUCCCUCAGUCUGCCAUGUAAAUAAGGUUCUGAUUCAAGAGAGAUUGCUAUUGAAACAAUUAAAAGUAGGAACUGACCUUCCUUCCCAGUGAAUACUUACAAAUCUGUUGUUUUAAAAACAACAUAAAUUGCAGCAACCAAUUUUCAGAUCAUUUCAACACCCUUCUUGCCCUUUGCUGUACUUGUGACUGACCAGUAUUCUUAAUCAGAGUAGGCAAGAGCUUUGCCACUUAGCUAUAAUCGCAACCCCCUUACACCAUCUUUUAAAACAAAAUAAAACAACAAAAGACCAAAA